GCUGGGCAUGGUAGUGUAUGCCUGCAAUCCCAGCGGCUUGGGAGGCUGAGGCAGGAGGAUCAUGAGUUCAAAGCCAGCCUCUA
rnacentral:sRNA from 1 species